AGAGUUUGAUCAUGGCUCAGAUUGAACGCUGGCGGCAUGCUUUACACAUGCAAGUCGAGCGGCAGCGGCGGGGGCAACCUGGCGGCGAGCGGCGAACGGGUGAGUAAUGCAUCGGAACGUGUCCCGUAGGUGGGGGAUAACCCGGGCGAAAAGGCCGGGCUAAUACCGCAUAUGCUCUACGGAGGAAAGGGGGGGAUCCGCAAGGACCUCUCGCUAUGGGAGCGGCCGAUGUCCGAUUAGCUUGUUGGUGGGGUAAUGGCUUACCAAGGCGACGAUCGGUAGCUGGUCUGAGAGGAUGAUCAGCCACACUGGGACUGAGACACGGCCCAGACUCCUACGGGAGGCAGCAGUGGGAAUUUGGACAAUGGGGGCAACCCUGAUCCAGCCAUGCCGCGUGCGGGAAGAAGGCCUUCGGGUUGUAAACCGCUUUUAGUCGGGAAGAAAAGGCGAUCUCUAAUACGGGUCGUUCUUGACGGUACCGGCGGAAUAAGCACCGGCUAACUACGUG
rnacentral:rRNA from 1 species